rnacentral:lncRNA from 1 species
AUGAGAAUAACAAUUUGUACAUUGAUCCACAAAGUCCUACUGCAAAGUCUCUGUUCUUCCUUCAGUAGUGUCCCUGUCCAUAAAUUCAGUAUUGUUCAAUGUUUUGUCAGUCUGGCUGUAUUUUGCACUGAAUUUCAGAUUAUUUCUUUCAAUGUGAUCCACAGCUUUUCAUGCCUGUAUGGAACAUGGCUGGGUAAGAUGGUGGCAAGAGCGAACAGCAGAAGAUGGGAGGACAGAACCUCUACAGUCCCUUGUGAUGCCACAAUGAGAUUGCUUGUUCCAAGUUUUGUUGCAGUUAUCAGUGAUGUGUUCUUCCUUGCAUUGCAUGUGCUUUACCCAAGAAAGAUUGCAAGGCUUCUGACCUGCAUCACCAUAUUCACUAUAGCAUUGUGCUUAGGUGUCUUACUCACUCUUAGACAGCGAUAUGUUAAACAAAUAAAUGUUUCUCUUCUUAUCAGAAGUGAAAAGAAAAAAUCAAAAUGAUUUAAAAUGAUUUUGAGUUAAAAUGAUGUAUGGACUAAAUGGAAAUGACUUUUUUGGUAAAUCUUAUUUUAAACAGGAAUAUUCUAGCUGUGUUUAUUCAGUGGUGAUAGUAUAUUGAUGAGCUUCUUGACAGGUGUGUAGGAUAUUUAUUUGUCUCAGUGGCCCGUGGCCUGCAGAGCAGUAAGAUACUGAGGUUGCAAAGGCUGGAUGGGAAUUAGGUCCCAGGUUUGCUCAACUACUGACUGUAAUUUCAAGCAGAUUUUAGAGACCCCGAGAUACCAGAAUGAGUGGGAAGAAUGUAACAGUGGAAAGUACUCUUUUUCUUCUGCCAAAAUGAUAAUUUUGAGUUUAAUCCUUAGUAAAAUACAGAAACAAAUGAUAGAAAGGAGAAGCUGUAAGCAUCAAGAGAAUUUCAGAGCAAUAAGUAGGGACUUUGGCCUUUUAAAGUACCCAUCAUAGCAGAGAGUUGAAUAAAGACUUUGAGACUGUGUUUACA